ACCCGUCUAGCUGAGCGCUGGCCUUUUAAGCCAGUGGUCGUGGGUUCGAUUUCCACGGGGGGUG
rfam:Phytophthora infestans T30-4 supercont1.24 genomic scaffold, whole genome shotgun sequence.